rnacentral:rRNA from 1 species
UACGAAGGGGGCGAGCGUUGUUCGGAUUUACUGGGCGUAAAGGGCGCGUAGGCGGCCCUCCUUGUCGCGGGUGAAAGCCCCGGGCUCAACCUGGGAAUGGCGCGCGAAACGGGCGGGCUUGAGUUCGGGAGAGGAGCGUGGAAUUCCCAGUGUAGAGGUGAAAUGCGUAGAUAUUGGGAAGAACACCGGUGGCGAAGGCGGCGCUCUGGACCGAGACUGACGCUGAGGCGCGAAAGCGUGGGGAGCAAACAGG